rnacentral:rRNA from 1 species
GUGAGGAAUAUUGCGCAAUGGAGGCAACUCUGACGCAGCCAUGCCGCGUGCAGGAAGAAGGCGCUACGCGUUGGAAACUGCUUUUAACCGGGAAGAAACCCCAGGACGUGUCCUGGGUUGACGGUACCGGAGGAAUAAGCACCGGCUAACUUCGUGCCAGCAGCCGCGGUAAUACGAAGGGUGCAAGCGUUAUCCGGAUUCAUUGGGUUUAAAGGGUGCGUAGGCGGAGCGUUAAGUCAGUGGUGAAAUCCUGCAGCUUAACUGUAGACUUGCCAUUGAUCCUGGCGCUCUUGAGUGCGCUUGAAGUGGGCGGAAUGUGCCGUGUAGCGGUGAAAUGCUUAGAUAUGGCACAGAACACCAAUUGCGAAGGCAGCUCACUAAGGCGAUACUGACGCUGAGGCACGAAAGCGUGGGGAUCGAACAGGAUUAGAUACCCGGGUAGUCC